rnacentral:tRNA from 1 species
CGCCACGCUGGACUGGUCCACCUGGGCCGCCGGCGCACGCGACGCCCUGGCUUCGGGAGAAGCCGACCUCUGCCAGUUCGACUUUGCCCGCGGCGGC